rnacentral:lncRNA from 1 species
GUCGAGCUAUCUGGGAAUGAGCUCAUCAUAGAUAUCUUAGUAAAUCAAACAAUGUUGAAUUGUUUGACAUCGAGAUGGAACUCCAUGGUCUGCACCAAAGGGACAUAUUUUGAUCUACUGCCAAAAUACAGCAAGAGGUUCAUACUUGGGCAUGUUUUGAUGAUUCUAUCAUGUAUCAUGGGAUUUUGGAGCAAUGUUGAUACCUAAGCUCAAGACUGAGCUGGAAUGACCAGCUUUAAUAGUAAAAGAUUCAGGUAUCGUGGGCCUAGCUACUCACCUAAUAGAAAAGGAAGAACACCCUACAUGACAACAAGUCUAUGCUAUGAGUACAGUAUUCAUU